UUUACGUUAGGUAUAAACUUAAAAAACAAAAAUAAUAAUAUUUUUAAAUUUUUUAAAACUGUAUAAUUAAAUUACCAGUCUAUAAUUACUCAGUUGAAAAUGCUUAGCAGUAUGCCGCUGGUGGAAUAAUAUAUUAUUAUAAUAAAAAAUGUCAACUUUGUGAAUAUUGUGAAAGUAUAGACUAUUCUGGCAUGUUGAUACCAUGGCUGUUUCAACAUUUAUAUGAUUUAUAAAUUCAAAUCCUUCUGGCACACAUUUAGAGUUCAUUUUAUACAUCAAUUUAUUGACAUAUAUUGAUCAAUGCAUUUAAUAAGUACUCUUCUGGUACAAAAGCAGGCUUGUAAUUCCAUGUGGAAAAAUCGAAUUUCUUCCAAAAAUGCCAAAAUUUCAACCAAGUUGAUAUUUUUUAAAAGAACUUAAAAACCAUGUUAUUUUAUUUUGCUAUUUAUAUUGUGUAAAGAUAUUUUGAUCUUAUUUUUAAAAUAAAGUUUUAGUGUA